AAUCAACGCUGGCGGCGUGCCUAACACAUGCAAGUCGAACGCGAAAGCCCCGCAAGGGGCGAGUAGAGUGGCAAACGGGUGAGUAACGCGUGGGUGACCUGCCUUCGAGUGGGGGAUAACGUCUCGAAAGGGACGCUAAUACCGCAUGACAUCUUGCCUUUGAAGAGGUGAUGAUCAAAGCCGGGGUCGCAGACCUGGCGCUUGAAGAGGGGCCCGCGUCCGAUUAGCUAGUUGGUGAGGUAACGGCCCACCAAGGCGACGAUCGGUAUCCGGCCUAAGAGGGCGGACGGACACACUGGGACUGAGACACGGCCCAGACUCCUACGGGAGGCAGCAGUGGGGAAUUGUUCGCAAUGGGCGCAAGCCUGACGACGCAACGCCGCGUGGAGGAUGAAGAUCUUCGGGUCGCAAACUCCUGUCGAGCGGGACGAAAGAUCCGCGACCGAAUACGUCGCGGAAGUGACGGUACCGCUAGAGGAA
rnacentral:rRNA from 1 species